AACGGCCGUACCAUGCUGAAUAUACUGGUUCUCGUUAGAUCACCGAAGUCAAGCAUCAUUGGGCGCGGUCAGUACUUGGGUGGGUGACCACCUGGGGAACACCGCGUGCCGUU
rnacentral:rRNA from 1 species